rnacentral:tRNA from 1 species
GCGGGCGUAACUCAGUGGUAGAGUGCCACCUUGGACGGUUCAAAUCCGUUCGCCCGCUCCA